GGCUCUGAUUCCAAAGUGGAAUUUGGAUCGAGUCCUGUCAAUCGCUAUUUACAUAAUCUCCGAUGCGUAAGUUGUGACCAUGUGCCAAAAAAGCGUUGCCUCCGAUGCCUAAAACUUUAACAGCAUCAAUGAAUAUAUUAACACUGAUGCUAAAUACUCGUUAUAACAUCAAGGGUUUUGAUUAUAUUGAUGCAUGUUAUGAC
rnacentral:lncRNA from 1 species